AGAGUUUGAUCAUGGCUCAGGACGAACGCUGGCGGCGUGCCUAAUACAUGCAAGUCGAGCGAGCGGAACUAACAGAUUUACUUCUGUAAUGACGUUAGGAAAGCGAGCGGCGGAUGGGUGAGUAACACGUGGGGAACCUGCCCCAUAGUCUGGGAUACCACUUGGAAACAGGUGCUAAUACCGGAUAAGAAAGCAGAUCGCAUGAUCAGCUUUUAAAAGGCGGCGUAAGCUGUCGCUAUGGGAUGGCCCCGCGGUGCAUUAGCUAGUUGGUAAGGUAAAGGCUUACCAAGGCGAUGAUGCAUAGCCGAGUUGAGAGACUGAUCGGCCACAUUGGGACUGAGACACGGCCCAAACUCCUACGGGAGGCAGCAGUAGGGAAUCUUCCACAAUGGACGCAAGUCUGAUGGAGCAACGCCGCGUGAGUGAAGAAGGUUUUCGGAUCGUAAAGCUCUGUUGUUGGUGAAGAAGGAUAGAGGUAGUAACUGGCCUUUAUUUGACGGUAAUCAACCAGAAAGUCACGGCUAACUACGUGCCAGCAGCCGCGGUAAUACGUAGGUGGCAAGCGUUGUCCGGAUUUAUUGGGCGUAAAGCGAGCGCAGGCGGAAGAAUAAGUCUGAUGUGAAAGCCCUCGGCUUAACCGAGGAACUGCAUCGGAAACUGUUUUUCUUGAGUGCAGAAGAGGAGAGUGGAACUCCAUGUGUAGCGGUGGAAUGCGUAGAUAUAUGGAAGAACACCAGUGGCGAAGGCGGCUCUCUGGUCUGCAACUGACGCUGAGGCUCGAAAGCAUGGGUAGCGAACAGGAUUAGAUACCCUGGUAGUCCAUGCCGUAAACGAUGAGUGCUAAGUGUUGGGAGGUUUCCGCCUCUCAGUGCUGCAGCUAACGCAUUAAGCACUCCGCCUGGGGAGUACGACCGCAAGGUUGAAACUCAAAGGAAUUGACGGGGGCCCGCACAAGCGGUGGAGCAUGUGGUUUAAUUCGAAGCAACGCGAAGAACCUUACCAGGUCUUGACAUCUAGCGCCAUUUGUAGAGAUACAAAGUUCCCUUCGGGGACGCUAAGACAGGUGGUGCAUGGCUGUCGUCAGCUCGUGUCGUGAGAUGUUGGGUUAAGUCCCGCAACGAGCGCAACCCUUGUUAUUAGUUGCCAGCAUUAAGUUGGGCACUCUAAUGAGACUGCCGGUGACAAACCGGAGGAAGGUGGGGAUGACGUCAAGUCAUCAUGCCCCUUAUGACCUGGGCUACACACGUGCUACAAUGGGCAGUACAACGAGAAGCGAGCCUGCGAAGGCAAGCGAAUCUCUGAAAGCUGUUCUCAGUUCGGACUGCAGUCUGCAACUCGACUGCACGAAGCUGGAAUCGCUAGUAAUCGCGGAUCAGCACGCCGCGGUGAAUACGUUCCCGGGCCUUGUACACACCGCCCGUCACACCAUGGGAGUCUGCAAUGCCCAAAGCCGGUGGCCUAACCUUCGGGAAGGAGCCGUCUAAGGCAGGGCAGAUGACUGGGGUGAAGUCGUAACAAGGUAGCCGUAGGAGAACCUGCGGCUGGAUCACCUCCUU
rnacentral:rRNA from 1 species